rnacentral:misc_RNA from 1 species
GAUGAAGAACGUAGCGAAAUGCGAUAAGUAAUGCGAAUUGCAGAAUCCGUGAGUCAUCGAAUCUUUGAACGCACAUUGCGCCCGCCAGUAUUCUGGCGGGCAUGCCUGUCUGAGCGUCAUUUCAACCCUCAUGCCCCUAGGGCGUGGUGUUGGGGAUCGGCCAAAGCCCGCGAGGGACGGCCGGCCCCUAAAUCUAGUGGCGGACCCGUCGUGGCCUCCUCUGCGAAGUAGUGAUAUUCCGCAUCGGAGAGCGAUGAGCCCCUGCCGUUAAACCCCCAACUUUCCAAGGUUGACCUCAGAUCAGGUAGGAAUACCCGCUGAACUUAAGCAUAUCAAUAAGCGGAGGA